rnacentral:rRNA from 1 species
UACAGAGGUCUCAAGCGUUGUUCGGAUUCAUUGGGCGUAAAGGGUGCGUAGGUGGCGAGGUAAGUUGGAUGUGAAAUCCUGGGGCUCAACCCCAGAACUGCAUUCAAUACUGCCUUGCUAGAGUACUGGAGAGGAGAUUGGAAUUUACGGCGUAGCAGUGAAAUGCGUAGAUAUCGUAAGGAAGACCAGUGGCGAAGGCGGAUCUCUGGACAGUUACUGACACUGAGGCACGAAGGCCAGGGGAGCAAACGGG